rnacentral:rRNA from 1 species
GGCCCAACAGCUAGCUCAACCCCCAAAAUACAACAACACACUAUUCAUAAACCCUAAAACCCCACACCACCCCAAAACAAACCAUUUUCCCCCCUUAGUAUGGGCGACAGAAAAGGAUCAACCAUGAAGCAAUAGCCAUAGUACCGCAAGGGAACGCUGAAAGAGAAGUGAAAUAAAUCAGUUCAAGCGCAAUGAAGCAGAGCUAAACCCUCGUACCUUUUGCAUCAUGAUUUAGCAAGAAACCAUCAAGCGAAAAGCCUUUUAGUUUGAUUUCCCGAAACCAAGUGAGCUACUCCAAGACAGCCUAUUGUAGGGCAAACCCGUCUCUGUGGCAAAAGAGUGGGGAGAGCUUUGAGUAGAGGUGACAGACCUACCGAACUUGGUUAUAGCUGGUUGUCCGGAAAUUGAAUAGAAGUUCAGCCUCUUGCCCUCUCCCGCCACAAAAUACUUACCCUAAGCCCUCAGAGAGGCCAAAAGAGUUAGUCAAAGGGGGUACAGCCCCUUUGAAACAGACACAACUUUACCAGCUGGGUUAAGAUCACAGAAUACCAGGGAUCAUUAUUUUGGUUGGCCUAAAAGCAGCCACCCACUUAGAAAGCGUUAAAGCUCAUAUACUGCCCACCCCCAUUAUUUGGAUCAUACAAUCUUAUCCCCCUACGUAUAUUACCGGACCUUUCCAUCUCUAUGGAAGAGAUUAUGCUAAUAUGAGUAAUAAGAGACCCCGACUCUCUCCCCGCACAAGUUUAGAUCGGAACGAACUAGCACCGAAAAUUAACGGCCCCAAAAAAGAGGGCACUGGAAUACCAUGGAAAGCCACUAGAAAAGCAUCCACACCACCCCCACCGUUAACCUUACACCAGUGUGCCUGCAGGGAAAGACUAAAAGAGAAAGAAGGAACUCGGCA